UACGUAGGGGGCUAGCGUUGUCCGGAAUCAUUGGGCGUAAAGCGCGUGUAGGCGGCUCGGUAAGUCCGCUCUGAAAGCCCGGGGCUCAACCCUGGGAGGCGGGUGGAUACUGCUGAGCUCGAGUCCGGAAGAGGCGAGUGGAAUUCCUGGUGUAGCGGUGAAAUGCGCAGAUAUCAGGAGGAACACCAAUGGCGAAGGCAGCUCGCUGGGACGGUACUGACGCUGAGACGCGAAAGCGUGGGGAGCAAACAGG
rnacentral:rRNA from 1 species